GAUGAGCGCUGGCGGCGUGCCUAACACAUGCAAGUCGAACGGAGAUUACGGACGGAAGUUUUCGGAUGGAAGACUGUAAUUCUUAGUGGCGGACGGGUGAGUAACGCGUGGGCAACCUGCCCUAUACAGGGGGAUAGCAGCUGGAAACGGCUGGUAAGACCGCAUAAGUCGGUUAAAUCGCAUGAUUUGAUCGGGAAAUGAGCAAUCAGGUAUAGGAUGGGCCCGCGUCCGAUUAGCCAGUUGGCAGGGUAAAAGCCUACCAAAGCGACGAUCGGUAGCCGGACUGAGAGGUCGGACGGCCACAUUGGGACUGAGACACGGCCCAAACUCCUACGGGAGGCAGCAGUGGGGGAUAUUGCACAAUGGAGGAAACUCUGAUGCAGCGACGCCGCGUGAGUGAAGAAGUAUUUCGGUAUGUAAAGCUCUAUCAGCAGGGAAGAUGAUGACGGUACCUGACGAAGAAGCCCCGGCUAACUACGUG
rnacentral:rRNA from 1 species